ACGGCGGACGGGACGGUCGCGCGAAUGAGAAAUUUGAACGGCAGAUUUUGUUGACAAAUUUCCGCUUCGCGAGGAAAGUCCGGGCUUCGCAGGACGCGAUGGUGGGUAACGCCCACCGGCUAAUAUAAGACGUUUUGCGUUUUAUGUCGGCUAGGGAAAGUGCAACAGAAAGCAAACCGCCUACGUUUCAGCAAGGACAAAAUUUUGUCGUUACUGAAACCGGCAAGGGUGAAACGGCGAGGUAAGAGCUCGCCAGCGAAUCGGGCGACCGAUUCGGCUAUGUAAACCCCAUCGGAAGCAAGGUCAAACAGAAACGAACCGCAAAGAGAAACGUCAAUGCGGAUGAACUGGUCCGGUUCGUCAAAGUUUCGGGUGGACUGCUGGAACGGCGGAGCAAUUCGCCGUCAAGAGGAAUGACCGUCGCCGAGCUUAUAGAAAAACGCGGUAUUUGCCGUAUUUUUUAUAAGAAUCGGAACAGAACCCGGCUUAUGCGUCCGCCGUUUUU
rnacentral:RNase_P_RNA from 1 species